CCUACGGGUGACAGCAGUGGGGAAUAUUGGGCAAUGGACGCAAGUCUGACCCAGCAACGCCGCGUGAAGGAUGAAGGUCUUCGGAUUGUAAAGUUCUUUUCUAAGGGAAGAAGAAAGUGACGGUACCUUAGGAAUAAGCCUCGGCUAACUACGUGCCAGCAGCCGCGGUAAUACGUAGGAGGCAAGCGUUAUCCGGAAUGACUGGGCGUAAAGGGUGCGUAGGUGGGUUGGCAAGUCAGAUGCGCAACGUCGGGGCUCAACUUCGGAACUACUACUGAAACUGUUUGUCUUGAGUGCAGGAGAGGCAAUCGGAAUUCCGUGUGUAGCGGUGGAAUGCGUAGAUAUUAGGAGGAACACCAGUGGCGAAGGCGGAUUGCUAGACUGUAACUGACACUGAGGCACGAAAGCGUGGGGAGCAAACAGGAUUAGAUACCCGUGUAGUC
rnacentral:rRNA from 1 species